AACGAACGCUGGCGUCAGGCUUAACACAUGCAAGUCGAACGCCCCGCAAGGGGAGUGGCAGACGGGUGAGUAACGCGUGGGAACAUACCCUUUUCUACGGAAUAGCUCUGGGAAACUGGAAUUAAUACCGUAUACGCCCUACGGGGGAAAGAUUUAUCGGGGAAGGAUUGGCCCGCGUUGGAUUAGCUAGUUGGUGGGGUAAAGGCCUACCAAGGCGACGAUCCAUAGCUGGUCUGAGAGGAUGAUCAGCCACAUUGGGACUGAGACACGGCCCAAACUCCUACGGGAGGCAGCAGUGGGGAAUAUUGGACAAUGGGCGCAAGCCUGAUCCAGCCAUGCCGCGUGAGUGAUGAAGGCCUUAGGGUUGUAAAGCUCUUUCACCGAUGAAGAUAAUGACGGUAGUCGGAGAAGAAGCCCCGGCUAACUUCGUG
rnacentral:rRNA from 1 species